ACGUGCAGGUCCGUUACAUAGGUAUACAUGUGCCAUGGUGGUUUGCUGAACCCAUCAACCCGUCAUCUUCAAAGCCUUUUUGAGACUGGCCACCCAAUGGGACUCGAAAAUUAUGCUGCCUGGAUGGCACAGACCAAGAGAGUCCUUCCACUUGGUCACAAGUCAAGCUUUCAAGGACAUCAAACAAGAUGAGAGAGAACCUAAAAUGAUACUCCUCUUCAUGACAGAAGGACACCCAAAGACAAAGGAAAAGACUAUUUCUGGUAGAAAAGGGACCAAACACUAUGAAUAUUCAAACCACAAAGUACCAAAAAGUAUACCAGAUAAGGCCUUCAGUAUAUCAAGAUCAGUGGAUCAAAGAAACAUCCUCAAGAAACUAAGAAACAACACAAGAUUCUCUCUGAUGAAAUGCUUAAGUAUAAUUUACAAAAUCUACAGACAAAGAACGACUACUGAGGAAGGGAAAAUGAUGGAAGACACAGAAGAGCAGCAGAAUUGGGUAGAAGACUACUACAGAUGCCAGAUCGCCACUUCUGAAAGAAAGGCUUACGACAACUGGCUCUGUGUUUAAGCCUCGCAGAGGGAGAUGCAAGAGAAGAAGGCUGCCUACAAGCAGCACAGGAAAUGAUUGAAAAACAGAGAGUGCUGGAGAGACACAUUAGUCAGGAGCCAGCUAGUGGACAACCAGGCAUAGAGAAUCAUCCCCAAAGAUGGCUCUGUCUUCCCUGGAACAGGACCCAGAGUGCCUGCAUUUGCAGACAGACACAGUGGCAUGUGGUGACAGCAGGUUAUCCUCAUGGCUUCCCUUCACACCCCAGCUGUCCUCAGGACUCAGUAGAAGGGAGAUUUUUUGGCACUGACACUGCUAUUUUGAAAUCUGGAGGAAAGAAAGGUCAAUAUGGCUUUGGGAGGGCCCCUUUUUCAGGAUUGCCCUACUUGCUCUACUGCAUGGCUGGCUCUUCAGGACCAUUUGUGGGCUGCCAGACACCUCCUCUGCCUGGGUGGCCUCUGGGAACACGACCACUGCCUCCAUGCACACCACUUGGACAAGCUGAAAUUUGAAGAGGCCCCUGAGCUGUGACAGCCAUGCUGUGGCUCCUACAUAACUUGGAAAAGUAUCCAAUACAUUUUACGCUGCCUGCCCAGUGCUGCCUCAUCUGUCUCUAAUCUUCUGUAGUGUUUCCCCUAAUAAAGGUUU
rnacentral:lncRNA from 1 species